CAGAGAAUAGUUUAAAUU
rnacentral:tRNA from 1 species